rnacentral:rRNA from 1 species
UACGAAGGGGGCUAGCGUUGCUCGGAAUUACUGGGCGUAAAGGGCGCGUAGGCGGCACUGUUAGUCAGGCGUGAAAGUCCUGGGCUCAACCUGGGAACUGCGCUUGAUACGGCAGAGCUAGAGGAUGGAAGAGGGUCGCGGAAUUCCCAGUGUAGAGGUGAAAUGCGUAGAGAUCGGGAAGAACAUCGGUGGCGAAAGCGCUCUACUGGACCGCAACUGACACUCAGGGACGAAAGCUAGGGGAGCGAAUGGG